rnacentral:rRNA from 1 species
GACGAACGCUGGCGGCGUGCUUAACACAUGCAAGUCGAGCGGUAAGGCCCUUUCGGGGGUACACGAGCGGCGAACGGGUGAGUAACACGUGGGUGACCUGCCCUUAGCUCUGGGAUAAGCCUGGGAAACUGGGUCUAAUACCGGAUAUGACUCCAUGACGCAUGUUGUGGGGUGAAAGCCUUGUGCGGCUAGGGAUGGGCCCGCGGCCUAUCAGCUUGUUGGUGGGGUGAUGGCCUACCAAGGCGACGACGGGUAGCCGGCCUGAGAGGGCGACCGGCCACACUGGGACUGAGACACGGCCCAGACUCCUACGGGAGGCAGCAGUGGGGAAUCUUGCGCAAUGAGCGAAAG